rnacentral:rRNA from 1 species
AUUGAACGCUGGCGGCAGGCCUAACACAUGCAAGUCGAGCGGAGCGGCGGACGGGUGAGUAAUGCCUAGGAAUCUGCCUGGUAGUGGGCGACAACGUCCGGAAACGUGCGCUAUUACCGCAUACGAUCAGAUCAGCCUAGGUGGGAUUUGCUAGUUGGUGGGGUAAAGGCUUAACAAGGUGGCGAUCCGUAACUGGUCCGAGAGGAUGAUCAGUCAAAAUGUGAAUGAGACACGGUCCAGACUCCUUCGGGAGGCAGCAGUGGGGAAUAGUGGACAAUGGGCGAAAGCCUUAACCAGCCAAGGCGCGUGUGUGAAGAAGGUCUUCGGAUUUUAAAGCACUUUAAGUUAGGAAACGUUUCCAACAGAAUAAGCACCGGCUAACUUCGUGGCAACAACCGCGGUAAAAC